rnacentral:lncRNA from 1 species
GGAAAAAAUAAAAGGUAUAGGGGGCUGGUGACUUAGCACAGUGGUGCCUCCAUCUGCCUUGGAAGCGCAAGGUCCUGAGUUCGAUCACUGGUACCUCCUUCUCCCCAAAAGAAGCCAAAUAACAUUUAUAUUGUAUGGAAGUUUCAGUUCUUGAAACAAUGCUUACCUCCUACUUCUUUCCUCCAGUUCCAC